rnacentral:lncRNA from 1 species
UCAAGGGGCCCUGCAUUUCCAUUUUGCACUGGGCCCUGCUCAUUGUGGACUUGAUCCUGGCCUUAGGUCCUGGCAUGUACUGGUGCUGGCAGGCUCUGUGGGGUAAGGUGCCUGCCAGCCUAAUGGGCAGGCCUGGGAGGUGGAACCCUCAAGCCCUCCAAGAGAAGGAAAGAAAGCAGAACCAGGUGUGAGCACGCUUGAGAAAACCCCUGUGCCUUUCAUGGGAAGCCCCCCUCCCCACCCGAUGAAGAACCCCAGAGCAGAAUGCUCCGAGGGGUUGUUUCCCUGGCAACUCCUGUCUCCCCCAUUCCAUGCAAAAUAAAACACAAACCAAGCUUUGCUUUAAGUGCUCCCUGAUGCAGUUCAGCGUGGAGAACUGCGCGUCUGCCAAAGAGCCCGAACAAAACCAUCUGGACUCUGCUGCAUGGCCCCGUCUGUGGCUGCUGUAGCUGCCCGUGGGAAGGCCCUGCCUCCAGCUUCUGCCCUUGGCUGCGAACCAUGGAGUCCCGGCUCCCAGGCCUAUCCCCGGGAUGAUGCACUAGACAUUUUUGUGGCAGGGUGCAGAACAAUGGAUUCCCCCUGAUGCUUGCUUUAAGCAUGAAUUUUUGUUUUGCAAAUGCAAUCCUGGGAAGGAAGGGAGUCCACCAAUUAGUGGGAACAGCUCUUACUGACUAAUGGAUGGUUAACUUUACAAGUGGAAUGAUUUUUACAAAUGAGCUACAAUAUGACUUUUUAAGAUUCCUUCAACAUCAGGAUUCCCGAUCAUCUCAUCAACCGACUUGUUAAGAAAACUGAGGCCCAGGGAAGUGGCUCACAAUUGUGUAGAAUUGUGAGGUGUCUUGACUGCUGGGCCAGGACUGAAGGACGUACGCCCUCUCCCGGAAUCGUCUCAGCUACAGAGAACCACCUUGCCCAAGGUCACCACCCUCUUGCCAAGGGGGUCACUUGGAUCUAAUGAUUGGUUAAUGCUGGGGGGAGGGGGUGUGCACAGGGUGUGGCUUCCAAGGGGAAUGUGGAUGCUGGAAUGAGGGAGGCAGCCACCUAGGCCGGUCAAGUCAGAGGCCCAGCAAGGAGAAAGCGAGCCAAGGCAAACGCCGACAGAAGAGAACGAUAAAUCCGCGGCGCACUCGGCAGAACGUACACCGCACCGCAUAAUUUAGCGGGGCAAUGCCGCCGGGAGUCCACGCCAAGUUAAUGGAAUAUUUCCUGUAAAUAUUAUUUUCCCUUCCUGUCUCAUCAUCUCAUUUCAUUCAAAAAUCUUUACUAAUCCGGGGGAGUGAAAGUAAUGCAUCAAUUUCCAGAGCCAAUGCCCCUGCUUCCGAAAUACCCUUAGGAAUCACUGGAAGCCACCGCGGCUGCUUAGGGACAGGGGGGCAGGCCGUUUACUCUGGUUCCUUCUCCUAAUGCCUCAGAGGGGACCCCAUAGUGCUCCUAAUUGUGCAUCUAAGUGUACAUAAAAGCCCCCCUAAUUGCACAUCAAAUAAAUAAGUAAAUGCUGUCUGCUGAAUAUGUAACAAGGACUGAUGUUGCUAUUUCUUCCCAGGGGGGAGAUUUCAUUAAAUCUGGGCUGCAUUUCUAAGUGAUGAUUUACAGAUAUUGAAUAUUCUUUACAAGGGAGGCUUUUUUGGAGUUAUGUGCUUCACAAUAUUUGCUCUAAUGCUUAAAGCCUCAGAUACAGCCUGCUGGAGGUCUCUUUAUUCUAACUCUUAGUGUCCUUUUGGAAAGUCUUUUCUGCUUUAAUGUGUAAUGGCUUCCGAUGAUCAGAUGGCUGGUUUGUCUGCAGGUCUGGGGACUGUGCAACCCCCUGGUCUCCCAAUGCCUCAGUUACUGACGCUGCAAACAAGGCAGAUUGUCCCAGAGAUUAGAGCUCUCAGGCUUUCUCGGGCUUCAAUCAAUCAAAGGAACGUAAGGACCCCUCCCCUACAGAGAGAGCCGGACGUGAGCCAGAUUUUGUCCAGACUUACUUAUAUCUGCCCUGUGGGAUCCCGAUUCUGCAAGAUUUAAUAAACAAUGCCUCAACAGAUAGCAUUUAAUUUUCAUUCAAACGUUUCCAGGGAAGAAAGAGGUAAAACUCUUGCUUGUACCAGCACAACUGCCCGAAACCCGUGGGAUACCCAGUCUGAGGCAUGUUGCUAUCGACAGUCAUUUCACACAGCUGGCAGUUUUUUCUUUUCUGAUGGCCUAGCUCUCUUUACUCCACCGUAAAUGCAAACUAAGACGAAACUUGGGAUUUACCUCCGGUGCCUAAAUGCCAACCUGACACUGUCUCAUUGUCUCCUGAGCCCAGUAGGACGGUAAUUUGUGAAAUACGGAGCCUCUCACCUCAGCAGCGCUUCUUUCUAUUCCCACACAUAUGCACAUGCUAAAAUGGAAUGUGGUAACUAGCAUAAAAUAGGGUACAACAAUUGCUGCAAGAUUUGU